rnacentral:rRNA from 1 species
UCCGUAGGUGAACUGCGGAAGGAUCAUUACAGAAUGAAAGUGCUUAACUGCAUUUUUUUUACACAUGUGUUUUUCUUUUUUUUUGAAAACUUUGCUUUGGUGGGCCCAUGGCCUGCCAGAGAUUAAACUCAACCAAAUUUUUAUUUAAGUCAACUGAUUAACUAAUAGUCAAAACUUUCAACAACGGAUCUCUUGGUUCUCGCAUCGAUGAAGAACGCAGCGAAAUGCGAUAAGUAAUAUGAAUUGCAGAUAUUCGUGAAUCAUCGAAUCUUUGAACGCACAUUGCGCCCUUUGGUAUUCCAAAGGGCAUGCCUGUUUGAGCGUCAUUUCUCCCUCAAACCUUCGGGUUUGGUGUUGAGCGAUACGCUGGGUUUGCUUGAAAGAAAGGCGGAGUAUAAACUAAUGGAUAGGUUUUUUUUCCACUCAUUGGUACAAACUCCAAAAUUCUUCCAAAUUCGACCUCAAAUCAGGUAGGACUACCCGCUGAACUUAAGCAUAUCAAUAAGCGGAGGA